GUUUCACUUGGAAAAAACAUACAUCAUAUUGCAAUAUAAUUUACUUUGAGAUUUCAAUUUGGAAAAUGGCAUGGAAAUAAUCCAGCUUGAACAUCGUCCUCCUCACCUCCUGGACUAGGGCGAGGGCCCCUUAUAUUUCUUCAUGGCAAUUGUGUCACAGUUCAAACGCUCGUACCCUGACUCCAUCUGGGAUUUGGAAUGCACUCAGGGAAGUGGCUGUGCAUGGAGACUAGAAAUGGAAGAGGCUUCCAAGGUCAUGCCUUUCAGGCUCCCUUCAAAUUCUACAGCUACUGUGAAGAGAGUUGCAUUCCCACAGAGAACAUGUCAGACUGGAGGAAAAUUGUGACAAAAGGUCUCCCCAAAGAUCGAGGAAAGGAGGUUUGCCUGAAAAGGAGCCAGAGUGGUUCCGCCCAGACUGACGUGCUUCUGGCAGCCGGUGUGUACUGCUUGGUGACUGCUCUUUCAUUUCAGGUGGUGAUUUACCAAAUGCCGCUUUUUUUCUGUAUGACACAGGCGUGGCCAAACAUAGUCACCACUCAGAAUGUUGGGGAAGUUUCUCGUCCCCAUCAAACAGAGGGAGCAACCCUUGGUGGUUCAACAAUGAAGCCUCCAUUAGCUGAGAAGUCUAACUGUGAUUUAUCAUUCCCUACCUAUAAAGAUUGUAAACAAAUCAGGAAGCUUUCUGAGUCUCUUAGUCCUCUACUUCCAGGUAGAAGUGGUAAGAAUGUCAACCUUCCCUCACAACAUUGUAAGAAGGAAUGAUUAUUUGAAUUGAUUAUAAAAAGAUGCUCUGCAUUAUUCAUCAUUAGGGAAUUGCAAAUUAAAACAACAAGGAGAUAACGGCUACAUACCUAUUAGGACGGCUAAUAUCCAAAACGCUGACAGUACCAAAUGGUAGAGCAACAGGAACCCUCCUUCAUUGCUGGUGAAAAUGUAAAAUGGUUCGACCACUGUGGAAAACAGUUUGGCAGUUUUUUACAAAUCUAAACACACUUUUAUCAUAUCAUUCUGCAAUCAUGCUCCUUGAUAUUCUCCCAAAUGAGUUGAAAACUUAGGUCCACCCAGAAACCUCUGCACAAAAGUUUAUAGCAGCUUUAUUCAUAAUUGCCAAAACUUAGAAGCCACCAAGGUGUCCGUCAAUAGGUGAAUGGAUAAAUAAACUGUAGUAUAUUCAUACAGUGGAAUAGUAUUGAGCACUUAAAAAAGAAAAAGAGCUAUUAAGCCACAAAAAAGAAACGGAGGAAGCAUAAAGGCAUAUUACUAAGUGCAAGAAGCCAAUCUGAAAAGGCUACAGACUGUAUGAUUCCAACUAUAAGACAUUCUGGGGAGGUAAAAUUAUGCAGACAGUAAAGGAUCAGUGUUUGCCAGGGUUUUGGGAAGAUGGAAGGAGGAAUUAAUAGAUGGAACACGGGAUUUUUAAGCCAAUGGAACUAUAUUGAAUGACACUGAAAGGGUAGCUACAUGGCAUGAUAGAUCUGUCAAAGCCCACAGACUGUACAACACAAACAGUGAACCAUAUGUAAACUGUGGGCUUUGGUCACAAAGAGCGAACUGUAAUGUAAACUGUGGACUUUGGUUGAACAUGAGGCAUCAAUAUUACUUCAUCAGUUGUAACAAAACAUACUGUGACAUGUUGGUGGUGGAAGGGGCUGGGUGUGUGUUGGGGGAUGGUUAUGUGGAAACUGUACUUUCUGCUCAAUUUUAUUGUGAGCCUAAAACUUGUAAAAAAUGAAACUUAUUAAUUAAAACUAAAUCGAUUUUAAAAUCUAGAUAAAAGUUAUUAUGAAGCAGAAAGUGAAUAUAAUCAUAUAAUUAUAUAAAUUAAUAAAAAUAAUUGUUGAAUGCAUGCUUUAGGAUUAAGUUCAGUUGUACACAACACAGAAAACAACAACAAGUGUGGUUUAGACAAGAUAGAAGAAUAUGUUUCUCAUGUAUGCAAAAUAAGCCUAGAAGUAGGCAGUCCGGAGUUGGAAUGGUGACUCCACAGAGACUUUGGGGACCAAGGCUUCUGGCUUUGCUGAGACUCCCAUCUCAGCAUCUUACUCCCAUCUCUUGGUCUGAUAUAAUUGCCAGAACUCCAGCCAUUACAUCUGCAUUCUAAACAGCAGAGAGCGAGGAAGGAGGAAAUACUGGCAUGCCUCCUCCCUUAAAUGCAGACUUACAGGAAGUUUCAUAUUAUAGUUCUGCUUUUAUCUUAUUGGUCAAGAACUUAGACAAAUUGGCACAUCUACCUGUGAAGGAGUCUCACAAUUUUUUACCUGUUGAAUGUACACAAAAUUUAAAAAAUCUGCAGAGAGGUCCAGCUAAAAAUCAGGGCUCUGUUUCUAAAUAAAAAGAAAGAAAGGGAUGUUGGAGUAGGCAGCUAGCCAUCUGAGACUUUGAGCAACUGUUGCUAAGUUAAAAAUACAGUGCUAGAGGCAGAGGAUGAAAAACACAUUAGAUCAAUAGGAGAAAUAAACAUGCAAGCACGCGGCUAUUAUAUAUGGUGGCAAUUUGUUAAUGGCACAAGGAUUUCAAAAGAGGAUGUGCGUAUGCCCAGUUGGGAUUGAUCAGAGAAGCCCUCCUAGAGGGAAGGAUAUUUUACAAAGACCUAGAAGGAUGGAGAGAAUUUGAAUGGUAGGAAGUGGUGGAAAAAAAGGCAAACUUGGCAUAGGAAAUGGCAUGAGAGAAAGCAAGUUGUUAUUUGAUAAAGAGGGAUAUGCCUGUUAUUGGUGCAUUUUAUAGUCUGCACAGAUACAGAAAGUGCCUAGGCAGGAAGAAGUUUAUGUCUGUAGUUUGGACAUCUACCCCAAUGACAUCAGUUUCUCUAUUCACAAUCUGUCCAUCAUUCCCAUGGGGUGGGAGGUGAGGAAGAAUUCCAUUCAACAACACACACUUAGAGUAUCUCAGGCAAAGAGACUUUUUUUCUUUUGUAUUUAUGAUAAAACACCCAAAUAUGUAUCCAAGUGGGAUUACCAGCCUGGGUUGGAUCCAAGAGACUUUGGUUACUAGAACUAUUUCUCAUCAUAAAUCCCCAAACAAGUUGAGUUUUUCACUUCCUCUCCUAAUCUGCCAUGGAGCACAGCCGAGUUGCUUGAAGUCAUCUACUUCUUGGCAGUGGCUACAAUUCCAAGAUGAUGGAACGAUUCUUUUCCAUAUACAUCAUUAUUAUUUCUAGUAUAAAUAUUUAUCAAGCACUCACUGUGCAAUAGAGAAGAGCUCCUGCUUGGUGGUCUUUCCAGCUGAACAAAACAAACAUGAGUAGAGGUUGAGGGAAGAGGUGGGAAGAGAACCUCAGCUGGUGGGAAACAAUAGGAAUUGCUUCCCCACCCCACCUCCUUUUAUUCAUGUUGGAUGUUGUUUGGACUUGACUGCCAUAUUUCAGAUACGUAAAAUGUGUUUUUAUUUGUUUAACAUAUGCUUUAUAGGGCUUACCAUGUGCUGUGCACUGUUCUAAGCUCUUUACAAAUAUUAACACAUUCAAUCCUCAUAGAAUCCUGUGAAAUAAGUCAUUUUAUUAUCCCUAUUUGCAGAUGAGGAAACUGAGGCACACAGUAAUUUGCCCAAGGUCGCUAACUGGGCACAGUGACUCUAGAGCAACACUGUUCAGUAGAACUUUCCCUGAUGUCAGAAGUGUUCCAUAUUUGCGCUGCCCAAUAGGGUAACCACUGGAUACGUGUAGCUGUUGAGCACUUGAAAUGUGGCUUGUAUGACUGAGGAAGUGAACUUCUGAAAGUUCAGAAGGCCACCCACCUCACCCUCCCAAAGUGCUGAGAUUACAGGCAUGAGCCACCACACCCAGGCCGCCUUUCUUUCCUUUCCUCUCCCUUCCUCCCUCCCUCCCUUUUUUCUUUCUUUCUUUCUUGCUUGCCUGCCUGCCUUCCUUCCUUCCUUCCUUCCUUUUCUUUCUCUCUCUUUCUUUCCAUCCCUCCCUCCUCUCUCUCUCUUUCUUUCUUUCCUUUUCUUUUCCUUUCUUUUCUUUUCUUUUUCCUUCCUUCCUUCCCUUUUCUCCUUCCUUCCUUCUCUUCUCUUCUCUUUUCUUUCUCUUUCUUUUUUUGAAGGAGCAAGAGCCAAGAAUAUAGAGAUUCUUUUGUAAAACAGUGAUCCUUCCUGGUGCAUUUGCUGUUUAAUUAUGAUAAACAACAUGAGAUAUAAGUUUAUAGAAAAAUAUGAGCAAGUCACUCAGGUGGUGCCAUUCUCUAUUCCCUGGCUAUUAAAUAGGACUACAAAAAAGCUCUAUCUCCAAUGCAAGUUUUCUCACAAUUGGUAGCAGAUGAGGAGGUCAAAGAGGAGAAAUCAACGGCUGGUUAGGUCAUGCACAUUUGGUAGCACAGACCAUUGUUAAAAGCAAAAAGCAACAUUAUAGUAUCUGGUGCCUGCUUGGGAAAAUGAAGAGCAGGACAAGGUCAUGUGUGUUAUCUUGCUGUCAUCAAGACUACUACUCCCUCUUUUCUCUCUUUCCCUCCCAUCUUAAUGCUUCUCUACUUUACUCAGCUUUCAUGGUUAAACUCAAAUUCCACUUCUUCCUUGAAAGCUGCCCUCCUGUCUCCAUGUGAAAGCAUCCUCCCUACAAUAUGACUGUAUGUUUCUUCUGGUACUCAAUGGGUUCUAUACUAUAUAAUAGCUAAGUAAGUACAAGUCCUA
rnacentral:lncRNA from 1 species